GGCUCAGGAGUGGAGGUUUGGAUUUCGGUUUAUCCAUUUUGCUGUAGCGGUUGAAAUGAGCCUCACAAGGCCGCACCAAAAUAAUACUGUAGCGAUUGGAAUUUAUAAUAAAUGUCUGAAGAUUAAUAAUCUCAAAUUAUGACAUUUAUGCACUCGUUGAAAGGGGCACCACCCACCCUCAAUGGUGGGAAAAUAAAGAAAACAAAAGUUUAAUUCAGAAAUCAAACAUCAAGUCAGUUUUAAUUAAUCAGUCUCAUAUCUUAAGUCGAAAUUCUAAUUUCAGGGACUCCACUUCUGGAAGAACACUAACAGACAGGAACUUAGAAAAAUAAUGAUCUGUUUAUUACAGGAUAACUGAUGGUACAACACACAUGCAAUAAAUGAUGAUAAGAUAAUGAGGAUAAAAUAAUAAUAGGUGAAUAAAUAAAGAUUCUGAGUCAGGCUAGGAGCACUAAAGUUAAUGAUAGUGAGUGAAUAUGCGCUAACAUAUUAACCUACAAUAACUUUGGUGUCGAGAUAAACUCGGAUGUGGAUUUGGAGGAAUCUAAGAUUACCAGAAUAAGUGGAUAUCUGAGUUAUGAACGCAGGAGACAGCACCAGCCCUGUUUGGAACUCUGGAGGUUUGCAUACUUAAGUGAGACUGGUCCUUGGAGAAGAUGGAACAGGUUCCGAAGGUCCGGGGCUACUGGCGGUUCGAGCGGUUCAGCUCAGAAGACGACUGAAGUCAGCCGAAGGAUGAGCCAGGAGUACAAGAGUACAAGAGUCGGGGACAAGAGAGUCAGCAGAAGAGAGUGGGCAACCCCACUUCACUGGUUUUUAUCUUCUCACACUGGGAGUGUCUCUGGGGUGUGUGUGUGAGGAGAAAGAGCAGGAGGGGUCGUGUGGUCUCCAAGCAGAGGAGACAUCGGAUCUCUGAUUAUCUGAUCUAACUUAUUCUUUUGGCGGGUAAAAGAGUCAGAUCUGAUACUCACUCACUAUGAUUAAUAUCAUUGAAUGCUAGGUUUCAUGAUAAAUAAUUUGAUACUAAACACAUAUGAAUGAAGUGUAGGAUCACAUCAAACAUUCUCAUUAUGUUUUAAGUAUCACAUUGAACAUGCUAAAUUACUCUGAAAUGGAACAGAUAGUAACACAUGGAAGCUGUGAACAACAAAAGAGUAAACACAUGUGAAUGAACUUCAUCAUGAUUAAUAAUGGAUUCUAAAUACUCACAUUCAGAUUAUUCAAUGACAUUAUAACCACCUAAUGGUUAAAAAUACUAAAUAAACAACUAAAAUAUAAACCAAACAUUUCUAAACUAUUUCUGUUACCUAGAGUUAAGUUAUGAUUCAUAGUCGAUCAAUUUAACUCUUAAAAGUUCAUGAAACAGUCUGAAAAGCUGUUGGUCUAAAGAAACUAAAGAGCGAUAACUCGGCUUCUGGAGCACAUAGAAAAAUGGGAAACAUCUCAUUUUAACACAAAUUUCAUGAUUAGACAGAUUAGUGCAUUGCUGAAUGCAUAAGAUGUCAGGAUCAGUCAUUUGUAUUCUUUCACCAAAGGAAUGUAGUCUUUAUCAGUGUAUGGUCAAACAGGGUUUUACGACCGAGGUCUGGAGGUCAGUGCCCCCCCUUAUCCUGGGGUCCGUAUGUUCACACACUUUAAGAAGGUAAAUCUCAAAUGGGAGAUCUGGGUUGAGACGUUAAUGUUUAUUUAGAUGGUCAGCAAUGGAGUCAGUUUGAAAGGUAAUAAAAACUCUGUCUUUGUUCUCCGAACUGACCAAUCAUGAAGAGUCAGAGGUUUAGUCAACCUGCAAACAAGUCUGGAAAGAUUUAUAUCCUGUUUCCUGGGACCAGAUAAGGAAGCUUUCCUGUGAGGAAUGUGUGGGUUUCACACCCAGGGUUGUCUUGAUUGCUACAUUGCUAAUGUUUGCUGAAGUAAGGGGCCCAGGGGCCUCAUGUAGCAACGCUGGUGGCGCCAGAAAACCUUGCGUUCGCCAUGAUUGGCGCACACGUCCAGAUUUAUCAUCGCAACACGAGCGUCGGUUCCAGCGCAAAUCCACGUAAAGUGAGGAGGUGGUGUAGAAGUUGGUGUUGAGCCGAUACUUGUGUUGACGGCACUUUGGCGACGCUGUGUGGCGGUGUUUGGUUACUCACUAUGUGACAAGCGUUCACACAUCGCAGUGGAUUAACUGUUAAACAGACGGUUCUUUUAUAGCCCCUCCAGUAAUGCCGACAGGUGUUCGUGUUUGUGUUAACACAUUAACACAAACACGAAUACCUGUCGGCAUUACUGGAGGGGCUAUAAAAGAACCGUCACUCGUGCAGAAUACAACUACAAAUAGAGAAGACAACUUUCAACAAUGGCAGCACUUGCUCUCCUAUAGGACAUCAAAAACCGUGCAAUCCGACG
rnacentral:lncRNA from 1 species